UUGUUCUUUAAAUGGGGACUUGUAUCAACGGCAUCACGAGGGUUUUACUGUCUCCUUUUUCUAAUCAGCGAAACUAAUCUCCCCGUGAAGAAGCGGGGAUAUUUAUAUAAGACGAGAAGACCCCAUGGAGCUUCAAACCCAAUUACACCCCCCCCCCCCCNAAAA
rnacentral:rRNA from 1 species